UACGUAGGGGGCAAGCGUUGUCCGGAUUUAUUGGGCGUAAAGAGCGUGUAGGCGGCCAGUGUCAGUCGUGAUGAACUCGAGGCUCAACCUCGAGACGCGAGUGAAACCAUGUGGCUAGAGUCCGGAAGAGGAGAGUGGAAUUCCUGGUGUAGCGGUGAAAUGCGCAGAUAUCAGGAAGAACACCCGUGGCGAAGGCGGCUCUCUGGGACGGUACUGACGCUGAGACGCGAAAGCGUGGGGAGCAAACAGG
rnacentral:rRNA from 1 species